rnacentral:tRNA from 1 species
CCUUUAGCUCAGUGGUUAGAGCAGUCGGCUCAUAACCGAUCGGUCCGGGGUUCAAAUCCCUGAAG